rnacentral:rRNA from 1 species
UUCCGGUUGAUCCCGCCGGACCUGACUGCUAUCGGAUUGAUACUAAGCCAUGCUAGUCUUUGUAGUAAUACAAGGCAUACGGCUCAGUAACGCGUAGUCAACCUACCCUAUGGACGGGGAUAAUCUCGGGAAACUGAGCAUAAUACCCGGCAGACCACUUAUCCUGGAAUGGUUAGUGGUUAAAAUGAUUCGUCGCCGUAGGAUGGGACUGCGACCUAUCAGCUUGUUGGUGAGGUAAAGGCCCACCAAGGCGAUUACAGGUACGGGCUCUGAGAGGAGAAGCCCGGAGAUGGGUACUGAGACACGGACCCAGGCCCUAUGGGGCGCAGCAGGCGAGAAAACUUUGCAAUGUGCGAAAGCACGACAAGGUUAAUCCGAGUGAUUUCUGCUAAAGGAAUCUUUUGCCAGUUCUAAAAAUACUAGUGAAUAAGGGGUGGGCAAGUUCUGGUGUCAGCCGCCGCGGUAAAACCAGCACCUCAAGUGGUCAGGAGGAUUAUUGGGCCUAAAGCAUCCGUAGCCUGCUCUGUAAGUUUUCGGUUAAAUCUAUAUGCUCAACGUAUAGGCUGCCGAAAAUACUGCAGUGCUAGGAAGUGGGAGAGGUAGACGGUACUUGAUAGGAAGGGGUAAAAUCCUUUGAUCUAUCGAUGACCACCUGUGGCGAAGGCGGUCUACCAGAACACGUUCGACGGUGAGGGAUGAAAGCUGGGGGAGCAAACCGGAUUAGAUACCCGGGUAGUCCCAGCUGUAAACGAUGCAGACUCGAUGAUGCAUUGGCAUAUAGCCAGUGCAGUGUCGCAGGGAAGCCGUUAAGUCUGCCGCCUGGGAAGUACGUACGCAAGUAUGAAACUUAAAGGAAUUGGCGGGGGAGCACCACAAGGGGUGAAGCCUGCGGUUCAAUUGGAUUCAACGCCGGG